rnacentral:rRNA from 1 species
UUUAAGCACGGACCAAGGAGUUCAGCGUGUACGCGAGUCAUUGGGUGGUAAAACCCAAAGGCGUAAUGAAAGUGAAGGGAACUUUACGUUUCUGAGGGAGGAUGAGUCGGUUACCCGCAAGGGGCUGCUCCGCACUCCCGGGGCGUCUCUUUCUCAUUGCGAGUGGAGGCGCACCCAGAGCGUACACGCUGAUACCCGAAAGAUGGUGAACUAUGCCUGGCCAGGACGAAGCCAGGGGAAACCCUGGUGGAGGUCCGCAGCGAUUCUGACGUGCAAAUCGAUCGUCGGAGCUGGGUAUAGGGGCGAAAGACCAAUCGAACCAUCUAGUAGCUGGUUCCCUCCGAAGUUUCCCUCAGGAUAGCUUGCGCUCAUGUGAAAGAGUCUCAUCCGGUAGAGCGAAUGAUUAGAGGCCUUGGGGUCGAAACGACCUCAACCUAUUCUCAAACUCCAAAUAGAUGAGAACUCCGGCUUUCUUGAACUUUGUUUUUGAAGCCGGGGGCUCGGAUCAGAGUGCCAAGUGGGCCAAUUUUGGUAAGCAGAAUG